UUUCAGGACUGUUUAUGUCCUUCUUUUUCACUCUUUCUCCUAUUUUUCAAAAAUAUAUGAGUCUGAAGUUUUGAUCACAACCUAGGGGCUGACUCACCAAUGCUAUAUGAGACCAAUCUUUCCAAAUUAUUAAGUCAUGUUUUGCUUUACUUUUUCCAUAUAGCAUAAACCAGAACGCCACUCAGAGGAGUAUGUUAAGUUCUUCUGUAGACCAAGACAUCCUGACUGCUACUUUUUUGAUACCUGGAUACACAGCUCAUGUGUCUGGUUGCUCCUAUGAAUAUCCAGGCUGAGCAGCCUAAAAACUGUUGCUAGUCAAAUACAAUGGAACCACAUAUUUUAUUUGGAACAGUUUUCAUAAUAUUUGGAACAGCGAUCAUAGAUGUGGACCCCCCCAAAAAAGCAACAAUAUUGAAUCACCAUAAGAGAAUGCUGUCUUUCUUUUGCAUCCCAUUAAGAGAAAAUUGCUUGGUGCAAGAGGAACCUCCUGGAGCUCAAAUGCCAAGUGAACAUGUGAAAUACCAGGUUUUAAAGUGGAGUCGGCACAGCUGUCAUGCUGGUUUGACUUCAGCCACAGCUCUGAAUAACAGGAAAACAACUUUGCAUGGAAACUUUUUCCGGCCUUUGGCAAAACACACCAGUAAGAUGCUUUGCCUUAACUUUGAUUCUCCCUCCUGUUCAUUCCUCUAAUUUUUCUGUUCUCUUGUUCUUCCUAUGCUUCGUGUAUUUUAUUUUUUAAUGAUAAUUAUUUGAAUUACUUAGCAUUUUUUAAAAUAUUAAAGUAAGAUCUAAUAUCUUAGGUACAGUGAAAGGAUUCCAGCUCCAACAUUAAGCUGAGGUGGUUAUCUUGUCAUUUGAUUCAUGAUAUAGGAAGAGCUGUAAAACACUUGCACCAAAAUCAGAUGUUAUUUGGUUUUCUGUCACUGAUUAUAGAUGCAGAUCAAACAAUUAAAAGUUUUGUAAGAAAUACAAAACACUGCAGAUUAUAAAUAUUAAGAGCACCCUAUUUCUGAACUACAAUUACAAAAGUCAGAGGAUACUUGCUGAGAGUUUACAUAAUGAGACUCUAAACAUAAGAUCUCUGUUUUGUGCCUUAAACAAUACAAUACUUUUCAUAUUUCUUUUGCCACUUUGUUAUUAGCAUUGUUUUAGAGUGAAAAUACACUCAGAGAGCAAAAGGAGUCUUGGCACUGUGAUUAGAUUCUGAGACAUAUCAGUGUGAACUUCUGCUUGAAAAGGAGAUUUAAGGUGUGAGAUCCCACAGAAUGCACCAUCCUCUCAGCAAGACUUUCCCCAAUAAUCUAUUGCACAAGGCAUAAUGUCUCUCACACUAAAUUUAUGUCUCAGGUUAGGCACAGAUCUUGUAACUUUCUUAGCCUGACUAAUGUAUUUUACUUCAUUGAGGCUCUGUGAUACUCUGAAUCCCUGAAAAUUAAUCCAAAAGUGUUACCUUCUGCAUGUACACUGGACAAGAAGACGUUGCCUGACAUUCACAACUACAUAAACAAAAUUUGAAAUAUGAAAUAUAAAACUAUGUGAGAAGAACACAAUAUAAAUCCACCAGGAGAUAGAAAGUGCAUGAAAGGUUUUUGCUGCUGGUGACAAAAAAGAAACAACACAUUGGACAUGAAUGUAAGAAAAUGUUUUAAGGUAAGUACAUGCUUCUGGGGAGAGCCUGGUUCUCCCAUUUUAACAGGGAGAGGGCUUUACAGGUUGAUUCAUUCCAAUCCUGUUGACACAACAGAAACUAAAUCCCUUAUUCUUUGGUUUGAAUUCACUCAUUUACCUCAUAUUUACACAUUUGAAAAUGCUGAUUCUAACACAAAGCCCUGGAAUUUUUUUUCUCAGACACUUUUUCAAAACAGACAAGACAGAGAAAAACAUUCAGAUUUUAGGUAUGUUUUAGUGUGUUCAGGAUUUCCUUAAAUGGUUAUUGUCUGCUUUAUUCCUGACAUGCCUGUUUGUUUGGCAACCAUGAGCAAAGAUUUUGUGCAGUCAAUCCCGCUUCUUUUCCAUUUGCACUUCUUCAUAUUCUGAUAAACUGUACUGGUUGCCUUUAUAGCAAAGUAAGACUGUAUAAAAUAAUCUCUAAUGUUUUACUUCAGAGAUCAAAUAUGUAAAUAGAGUGUGAAAUAAAGCUUCUUUGAUUACAAGA
ensembl:lncRNA